GGGUCAGUAGGUUGGUCGUGCCACCGGUACGUACUGGUCUCACUGAUUCCUCCUUCCUGAAUAACCGUAAUGCCAUUAAUUUGAUGUUGCGGGGAAACAGGACUGUUACUUUGAAAAAAUUAGAGUGUUUAAAGCAAGCUAACGCUUGAAUACAUUAGCAUGGAAUAAUGAAAUAGGACGAUCGAUCCUAUUUUGUUGGUUUCUAGGAUUGACGUA
rnacentral:rRNA from 1 species